rnacentral:tmRNA from 1 species
GGGGGUGUAUUGGUUUCGACUGGCGGGUUUCAGGCCACCAGCUGCAGGUCAAGCGCCAACUUGUUAAACUAGCAAAAUUCACAACUGCCAAGAAAGAAGACGAUUUCGUCCUCGACGAAGCAGAAUUCGCUCUCGCUGCUUAAUCGUAGCCAGAACGGACAAGGUAUGGGGUGCCUCGCCCAUGGUCCUAUACCCUGUAAAUCCUUUGGGCUUGUCUAUGGCUGAUGGAUGUAGGCUGUAGAGACCUCCACACCCUGGGUUCUCUGAAAGACUGACCGACUGCCUAGGAGAAUCAAGACUCAUUCAGCCGGAUCUAAGCCUGUAGACGCUGAUGGAUGGUUCGUUAGGACGGGGGUCCGACUCCCCCCACCUCCA